CCCUGCUAACUGUGUUGAAGAGGUGCAAAUGUCAUAUCUUCAGAUGACGGAGCAACAGUGCCUCAGCAAACUUCACCUUUCACAAAAGACUGUCAUGUUUCAGGCUGCCUGUGGUGACCUGAGUGGGAUCACUCAGCCUGUAGCACAUCACUACAUAAAGACUCAGGGGAGAGUUUCACUGAUGGCAGGACUGGCUUUGGACAGGCUACCUUCAAGAAAGCAGGGUCUACUCUAUGUGGAUGUGUCUUAAAAUCCUGCUCAUCUCUGCGACAGUCUUUAUUACCUGUUCAAUCCCUAGAGUCCAGUAAAAAAUCUCCAUAGUUACACACCCUCAAAAUCUCUGAGGAAUGGCCACUUAUCUUUACGAUGCACUGAUGUUAAAGCUCCUCUUCCAAGCAGUAAGCGAGUAAACAGCACUGGAACCUAC